CUCCCUGUAGAGUUUUACCCCCUGCUCCUCUGGCCGCCCUCCGGAUGGAUCUUUGUGUUGCCAGGCAGGAAUGGGCUGCUUGGGGACCCAGUGAGCUCCGAGGGCCUUUCUGCUGCUUCCUGUACCCCUGUAUUUCGCUCAGCUCUCUGACUUGACUCAGCUCCAGGAGGAAUCUGCAUAGAUUAGACGAAAAAGUUAAAAGGAGUAUGAAUGAAAAAACUACGUGUACAAGAUGUCCAAGAUGAACAAAACUAUACAAUAAAGUUCAUUUCAAUAUACAACAUGUAUUAUAUUCAACAAGGCUCAAAUUUUUUGAUAAAAGGAAACAGAGACCUCUUUUUCUAGCAGGAAGAUAUUUUUCUUGGGAUGUUUUGUUUAUGCUGGCUUGAAUAACACUAUGAAAUAUUCUUUCAUUAAUAUUACAUGCUUAUGGAACUUUACCUAUUGAUUAAAGACAUCUACCCCUGGAGAAAGAGCCCAAUGAGAAGUAAUCUCUGAAGCCCAGAUUUCCUAAGGAUGAAGCUUCAGGAGAGGCCUUAUCAAU
rnacentral:lncRNA from 1 species